rfam:Carnobacterium maltaromaticum LMA28 complete genome
CUAAGUUACAAAGAUUUCCCGAAAGGAUUCGUAAGCAAUUACGGAGGCGCCUUGUAACCGAAAUGAUAAAGGGGGAAGAUGAUAGAUG